GCUCAGAAACUCAAAGGAAGUUGACGGGGCCCGCACAAGCGGUGGAGCAUGUGGUUUAAUUCGAUGCAACGCGAAGAACCUUACCUGGUCUUGACAUCCCGGAGACCCUUAGGAAACUAGGGGGUGCUUCCAUCUGGAAGAAUCUGGAGACAGGUGCUGCAUGGCUGUCGUCAGCUCGUGUCGUGAGAUGUUGGGUUAAGUCCCGCAACGAGCGCAACCCUUGCCUUUAGUUGCCAGCAGUUCGGCUGGGCACUCUAAAGGGACUGCCGGUGUUAAACCGGAGGAAGGUGGGGAUGACGUCAAGUCCUCAUGGCCUUUAUGACCAGGGCUACACACGUACUACAAUGGCCGAUACAAAGGGCAGCGACACUGCGAGGUGAAGCCAAUCCCGUAAAAUCGGUCUCAGUCCGGAUUGGAGUCUGCAACUCGACUCCAUGAAGUUGGAAUCGCUAGUAAUCGUGGAUCAGCAUGCCACGGUGAAUACGUUCCCGGGCCUU
rnacentral:rRNA from 1 species